rnacentral:tRNA from 1 species
GGAGGUGGAUGGGGACCGGUGUCCCUCCCGGCCUUCAAAGCCGCGUGUGUCCGUCAAAAGCCGGACAGGUGGGUUCGACUCCCACGCACCUCCGC